rnacentral:rRNA from 1 species
AGUGAACGCUGGCGGUAGGCCUAACACAUGCAAGUCGAACGGCAGCACAGUAAGAGCUUGCUCUUACGGGUGGCGAGUGGCGGACGGGUGAGGAAUACAUCGGAAUCUACUUUUUCGUGGGGGAUAACGUAGGGACACUUACGCUAAUACCGCAUACGACCUACGGGUGAAAGCAGGGGAUCUUCGGACCUUGCGCGAUUGAAUGAGCCGAUGUCGGAUUAGCUAGUUGGCGGGGUAAGGGCCCACCAAGGCGACGAUCCGUAGCUGGUCUGAGAGGAUGAUCAGCCACACUGGAACUGAGACACGGUCCAGACUCCUACGGGAGGCAGCAGUGGGGAAUAUUGGACAAUGGGCGCAAGCCUGAUCCAGCCAUACCGCGUGGGUGAAGAAGGCCUUCGGGUUGUAAAGCCCUUUUGUUGGGAAAGAAAAGCAGCAGGUUAAUACCCCGCUGUUCUGACGGUACCCAAAGAAUAAGCACCGGCUAACUUCGUG